rnacentral:rRNA from 1 species
CCAGUACCGUGAGGGAAAGGUGAAAAGCACCCCGGAAGGGGAGUGAAACAGUUCCUGAAACCGUGUGCCUACAAGUAGUUAGAGCCCGUUAAUGGGUGAUAGCGUGCCUUUUGUAGAAUGAACCGGCGAGUUACGAUUUGUUGCAAGGUUAAGCGGAAAAAGCGGAGCCGUAGCGAAAGCGAGUCUGAAUAGGGCGCAUAAGUAACAGGUCGUAGACCCGAAACCAGGUGAUCUACCCAUGUCCAGGAUGAAGGUAAGGUAAUACUUACUGGAGGUCCGAACCCACGCACGUUGAAAAGUGCGGGGAUGAGGUGUGGGUAGCGGAGAAAUUCCAAUCGAACUUGGAGAUAGCUGGUUCUCUCCGAAAUAGCUUUAGGGCUAGCCUCGAGGUAAAGAGUCAUGGAGGUAGAGCACUGUUUGGACUAGGGGCCCUUCUCGGGUUACCGAAUUCAGAUAAACUCCGAAUGCCAUGUACUUAUACUCGGGAGUCAGACUGCGAGUGAUAAGAUCCGUAGUCGAAAGGGAAACAGCCCAGACCACCAGUUAAGGUCCCCAAAUAUAUGUUAAGUGGAAAAGGAUGUGGGGUUGCUUAGACAACCAGGAUGUUGGCUUAGAAGCAGCCACCAUUGAAAGAGUGCGUAAUAGCUCACUGGUCGAGUGACCCCGCGCCGAAAAUGUACCGGGGCUAAACAUAUUACCGAAACUGUGGAUGAACCUCUUUAGAGGUUCGUGGUAGGAGAGCGUUCUAAGGGCGGUGAAGUCAGACCGGAAGGACUGGUGGAGCGCUUAGAAGUGAGAAUGCCGGUAUGAGUAGCGAAAGAAGGGUGAGAAUCCCUUCCACCGAAUAUCUAAGGUUUCCUGAGGAAGGCUCGUCCGCUCAGGGUUAGUCGGGACCUAAGCCGAGGCCGAUAGGCGUAGGCGAUGGACAACAGGUAGAGAUUCCUGUACCAGUGCUAAUUGUUUAACCGAUGGGGUGACACAGAAGGAUAGGGAAUCGCACGAAUGGAAAUGUGCGUCCAAGCAGUGAGUGUGAGAAGUAGGCAAAUCCGCUUCUCGCGAAGCAUGAGCUGUGAUGGGGAAGGAAAUUAAGUACGGAAGUUCCUGAUUUCACGCUGUCAAGAAAAGCCUCUAGGAAGAGUAGUACUGCCCGUACCGCAAACCGACACAGGUAGAUGAGGAGAGAAUCCUAAGGUGAGCGAGAGAACUCUCGUUAAGGAACUCGGCAAAAUGACCCCGUAACUUCGGGAGAAGGGGUGCUCUAUUAGGGUGCAAGCCCGAGAGAGCCGCAGUGAAUAGGCCCAGGCGACUGUUUAGCAAAAACACAGGUCUCUGCAAAACCGUAAGGUGACGUAUAGGGGCUGACGCCUGCCCGGUGCUGGAAGGUUAAGAGGAGUGCUUAGCUUCGGCGAAGGUACGAAUUGAAGCCCCAGUAAACGGCGGCCGUAACUAUAACGGUCCUAAGGUAGCGAAAUUCCUUGUCGGGUAAGUUCCGACCCGCACGAAAGGCGCAACGAUCUGGGCACUGUCUCAACGAGAGACUCGGUGAAAUUAUAGUACCUGUGAAGAUGCAGGUUACCCGCGACAGGACGGAAAGACCCCGUGGAGCUUUACUGCAACCUGAUAUGGAAUGUUUGUACCGCUUGUACAGGAUAGGUAGGAGCCGAAGAGACGUGUGCGCUAGCAUACGAGGAGGCAAUGGUGGGAUACUACCCUGGCUGUAUGACCAUUCUAACCCGCCACGCUUAGCGCGUGGGGAGACAGUGUCAGGUGGGCAGUUUGACUGGGGCGGUCGCCUCCUAAAGAGUAACGGAGGCGCCCAAAGGUUCCCUCAGAAUGGAUGGAAAUCAUUCGCAGAGUGUAAAGGCACAAGGGAGCUUGACUGCGAGACUGACAAGUCGAGCAGGGACGAAAGUCGGGCUUAGUGAUCCGGUGGUUCCGCAUGGAAGGGCCAUCGCUCAACGGAUAAAAGCUACCCCGGGGAUAACAGGCUUAUCUCCCCCAAGAGUCCACAUCGACGGGGAGGUUUGGCACCUCGAUGUCGGCUCGUCGCAUCCUGGGGCUGUAGUCGGUCCCAAGGGUUGGGCUGUUCGCCCAUUAAAGCGGCACGCGAGCUGGGUUCAGAACGUCGUGAGACAGUUCGGUCCCUAUCCGUCGCGGGCGCAGGAAAUUUGAGAGGAGCUGUCCUUAGUACGAGAGGACCGGGAUGGACACACCGCUGGUGUACCAGUUGUUCCGCCAGGAGCAUCGCUGGGUAGCUAUGUGUGGCAGGGAUAAACGCUGAAAGCAUCUAAGCGUGAAGCCCCCCUCAAGAUGAGAUUUCCCAUUUCUUCGGAAAGUAAGAUCCCUGAAAGAUGAUCAGGUAGAUAGGUUUGGAGUGGAAGUGUAGCGAUACAUGGAGCGGACAAAUACUAAUCGAUCGAGGACUUAACCAAAA